GACGAACCGUGCGAACGUUGUUCGGAAUCACUGGGCUUAAAGGGCGCGUAGGCGGGUUCCCAAGCCCGGGGUGAAAUCUUUCGGCUCAACCGGAAAAUAGCCUUGGAUACUGGGAGUCUCGAGGGAGGUAGGGGCAGCGGGAACUUCCGGUGGAGCGGUGAAAUGCGUUGAUAUCGGAAGGAACGCCGGUGGCGAAAGCGCGCUGCUGGACCGCUGCUGACGCUGAGGCGCGAAAGCCAGGGGAGCAAACGGG
rnacentral:rRNA from 1 species